rnacentral:rRNA from 1 species
AGAGUUUGAUCCUGGCUCAGAACGAACGCUGGCGGCAGGCUUAACACAUGCAAGUCGAGCGCCCCGCAAGGGGAGCGGCAGACGGGUGAGUAACGCGUGGGAAUCUACCCAUCCCUACGGAACAACUCCGGGAAACUGGAGCUAAUACCGUAUACGCCCUUUGGGGGAAAGAUUUAUCGGGGAUGGAUGAGCCCGCGUUGGAUUAGCUAGUUGGUGGGGUAAAGGCCUACCAAGGCGACGAUCCAUAGCUGGUCUGAGAGGAUGAUCAGCCACAUUGGGACUGAGACACGGCCCAAACUCCUACGGGAGGCAGCAGUGGGGAAUAUUGGACAAUGGGCGCAAGCCUGAUCCAGCCAUGCCGCGUGAAUGAUGAAGGCCUUAGGGUUGUAAAGUUCUUUCACCGGAGAAGAUAAUGACGGUAUCCGGAGAAGAAGCCCCGGCUACUUCGUGCCAGCAGCCGCGGUAAUACGAAGGGGGCUAGCGUUGUUCGGAAUUACUGGGCGUAAAGCGCACGUAGGCGGAUAUUUAAGUCAGGGGUGAAAUCCCGCAGCUCAACUGCGGAACUGCCUUUGAUACUGGGUAUCUUGAGUAUGGAAGAGGUAAGUGGAAUUGCGAGUGUAGAGGUGAAAUUCGUAGAUAUUCGCAGGAACACCAGUGGCGAAGGCGGCUUACUGGUCCAUAACUGACGCUGAGGUGCGAAAGCGUGGGGAGCAAACAGGAUUAGAUACCCUAGUAGUCC